rnacentral:rRNA from 1 species
UAUCGUUGCUUCGGCGGACUCGCCCCAGCCCGGACGCGGACUGGACCAGCGGCCCGCCGGGGACCUCAAACUCUUGUAUUCCAGCAUCUUCUGAAUACGCCGCAAGGCACAACAAAUGAAUCAAAACUUUCAACAACGGAUCUCUUGGCUCUGGCAUCGAUGAAGAACGCAGCGAAAUGCGAUAAGUAAUGUGAAUUGCAGAAUCCAGUGAAUCAUCGAAUCUUUGAACGCACAUUGCGCCCGCCAGCAUUCUGGCGGGCAUGCCUGUUCGAGCGUCAUUUCAACCCUCGACCUCCCCUUGGGGAGGUCGGCGUUGGGGACCGGCAGCACACCGCCGGCCCUGAAAUGGAGUGGCGGCCCGUCCGCG